ACUCCGUACAUCAGAAAUAUAAGAUAAUAAGAUUGAAAUAAAGUGAAGUGAAAUACUACUUAGCAGUUAGCACCAUGGUUCAGCCCUUUCACUUAUUAAAGGGGCUGGACUUUUAUAGGGCUUUAAAAUGAAGGGCUUUAAAAGAGUUUGAUAGGGCUUUUAAAAGGAUUAGUUUAAAAGGUUAUGAAAAUAAAAAAAUCAGCAAACUCUAAAUAAAAAAAGAAAAAUACCUCCUCUCUCAUUUAGAACCUGUCAAACCCUAAAUUUUUCCCAAAAAAUUAACAACCCUUGUUUUCGUUCUCCUCUUUUACCCAAAAAUAAGAACCCUAAUUUUCUCUCUCCUCUUUUCCCAAUAUUAAUAACCCUAAUUCUCUCAAACAAUCGCCGUCGCUGUCGCCGUCGCCGCCAUAACAAUCACCUUCGCCGCCAGAAUAAUCGCCGUCGCCGCCUUCGAAUUCAGACUAAUUGGAGAAGCUCGAUUUUAAUCAUGGUAAACUAUACUGGAUGGAUAGUGUGUCGAGGGACGAGGGUUAGUAUAGAUUCAGGCCAGUAGGGUCCUUAAUGGGUCGGAUUAUAUAACCUUGUAUGUCCUCAACGUAUCGGAUUCGAAAAAUCCGGUAGCGGUGAUAGUAGAGGCAAUUGUCGGAGCCUGUCUUCUCAAUUCUCAUUACGUAUAUAUGUAUUCUCUCCUAAGGUUGUAAUCAUCUCAUGUUACUGUAUUUUAGGUAUAAGAUUUCGUAUCAAUUUUUUGGUUAAUUAAUGUUAUUUUUACUACA